rnacentral:rRNA from 1 species
UAGGUUAACGAGGCGAACCGGGGGAACUGAAACAUCUAAGUACCCCGAGGAAAAGAAAUCAACCGAGAUUCCCCCAGUAGCGGCGAGCGAACGGGGAGCAGCCCGGAGUCUGAAUCAGCUUGUGUGUUAGUGGAACGGUCUGGAAAGUCCGACGGUACAGGGUGAUAGUCCCGUACACGAAAGCACACUUGCUGUGAACUCGAAGAGUAGGGCGGGACACGUGGUAUCCUGUCUGAAUAUGGGGGGACCAUCCUCCAAGGCUAAAUACUCCUGACUGACCGAUAGUGAACCAGUACCGUGAGGGAAAGGCGAAAAGAACCCCGGCGAGGGGAGUGAAAAAGAACCUGAAACCGUGUACGUACAAGCAGUGGGAGCACCUUCGUGG